rnacentral:rRNA from 1 species
GAUGAACGCUGGCGGCGUGCUUAACACAUGCAAGUCGAACGAAGCACCUCUCCCGAAGAUUGACACAGCUUGCUGUAGAUUGAUUCAUUUGAGGUGACUGAGUGGCGGACGGGUGAGUAACGCGUGGGUAACCUGCCUCAUAGAGGGGGACAACAGUUGGAAACGACUGCUAAUACCGCAUAGUAAGAAGAAUUCGCAUGUUUUCUUCUUGAAAGAUUUAUCGCUAUGAGAUGGACCCGCGUCUGAUUAGCUAGUUGGUAAGGUAACGGCUUACCAAGGCGACGAUCAGUAGCCGGCUUGAGAGAGUGAACGGCCACAUUGGGACUGAGACACGGCCCAAACUCCUACGGGAGGCAGCAGUGGGGAAUAUUGCACAAUGGGGGAAACCAUGAUGCAGCGACGCCGCGUGAGUGAAGAAGUAUUUCGGUAUGUAAAGCUCUAUCAGCAGGGAAGAUAAUGACGGUACCUGACUAAGAAGCCCCGGCUAACUACGUG